AACAUCUAAGUAGCUGGAGGAAAAGAAAAUAAUUAAUGAUUCCCUAAGUAGUGGCGAGCGAACGGGGAAGAGCCCAAACCAAUUAUGUUCCGGCAUAGUUGGGGUUGUAGGGCCGCGAUAUCGAAUGUACAUGCGAAGAAGAACACAACUGGAAAGUUGGGCCAUAGUGGGUGAUAGCCCCUUAAUCGUAUGCAUGUAAUAUUUGUAGCGGUACCCUGAGUAGGGCGGGACACGUGGAAUCCUGUCUGAAUCUACCAGGACCAUCUGGUAAGGCUAAAUACUCCUAGAUCACCGAUAGCGAACCAGUACCGUGAGGGAAAGGUGAAAAGUACCCUGAAUAAGGGAGUGAAAUAGUACCUGAAACCGUGUGCUUACAAGCGGUCGGAGCUUCUUCGUGAAGUGACGGCGUGCCUUUUGCAUAAUGAUCCUACGAGUUGCUCCUCACUAGCGAGGUUAAGGGCUGAAGGCCCGGAGCCGAAGCGAAAGCGAGUCUGAAUAGGGCGUAUAGUUAGUGGGGGCAGACGCGAAACCUAGUGAUCUACCCAUGGCCAGGGUGUAGCUUUGGUAACACAAAGUGGAGGCCCGAACCCGUUGACGUUGAAAAGUCUUGGGAUGAGCUGUGGGUAGGGGUGAAAGGCUAAUCAAACUGGGAAAUAGCUCGUACUCCCCGAAAUGUAUUUAGGUACAGCCU
rnacentral:rRNA from 1 species